GUGCUCACUUCGGCAGCACAUACACUAAAACUGGAAUGAUACAGAAAAGAUUAGCAUGGCCCAUGCACAAGAAUGAUAAGCAAAUUUGCGAAGUGUUACAUAUUUUU
rnacentral:snRNA from 1 species